CGUUUUCUUUCUCGCGAAGGUUUUAUUUAUUUUUUUCAAAAUGCCGUUUCCUAGCAUUUUACAGUACUGUACGUGUGGUUUUAAGGCAAAUGAAUUAGAUGUUAGGCGUCAGAUGGGCAGCCGCUGAACGGGUCCGGUCCGCUUUCAAAUCCUAACGGUUCUGCAGCAGGUCGGCCACGCGCUCGUAACUGCCCGCGAAGAAUAUUCGCGAAUACGGGGGACGAAUCUUAAAUCUAAAUCGACUGAAGACGAAAAAACACCAUCUCAUCUUUAAAACAGCGGUGUCGCAGCGGUCAUUACAGGCUGAAACGUGAAAAGACAGGCUGAAAGGGAGCAGCGACUGUUUUCGCCUCCGUAGCUUGACAGAGCAAUAACACCCGAUUUACUGGAGUCACAAGCUGACUAAUUGGAAGUAAGAGUUUAACGGGUAAUCUGACUGUAAAACUGCCCAAUCCAGGAACCACACUGGACAAACUGCUGGGAGUCCCACAACGCCCCCGUCUGGACAGAGCAGGAAAGUGAGCUAAAGAGCUUGCCGCGAGGGAGUAGACGGGCAGGAGGGGAGAAUACGAGAGAGACACAGUAUACGACAGGAUGCGAGCAAAUAUGUGCAGGUGUAGGUUAGUGGAAGUGUGCAAUAUUAGGAGACAGCAGGACUGUAGCAGUAGCCCUGUGACAUUAGUUCAUAAACUCACUUGCUGGACAUUCUGCCCCUUGGUCACCCACUCGUUCCCC